rnacentral:rRNA from 1 species
GACGAACGCUGGCGGCGUGCUUAACACAUGCAAGUCGAACGGAAAGGCCCUGCUUUUGUGGGGUGCUCGAGUGGCGAACGGGUGAGUAACACGUGAGUAACCUGCCCUUGACUUUGGUAUAACUUCAGGAAACUGGGGCUAAUACCGGAUAGGAGCUCCUGCUGCAUGGUGGGGGUUGGAAAGUUUCGGCGGUUGGGGAUGGACUCGCGGCUUAUCAGCUUGUUGGUGGGGUAGUGGCUUACCAAGGCUUUGACGGGUAGCCGGCCUGAGAGGGUGACCGGCCACAUUGGGACUGCGAUACGGCCCAGACUCCUACGGGAGGCAGCAGUGGGGAAUAUUGCACAAUGGGCGGAAGCCUGAUGCAGCAACGCCGCGUGCGGGAUGACGGCCUUCGGGUUGUAAACCGCUUUCGCCUGUGACGAAGCGUGAGUGACGGUAAUGGGUAAAGAAGCACCGGCUAACUACGUG